AACGAACGCUGGCGGCAGGCUUAACACAUGCAAGUCGAACGCAUCCUUCGGGGUGAGUGGCAGACGGGUGAGUAACGCGUGGGAACGUGCCCUUCAGUUCGGGAUAACCCAGGGAAACUUGGGCUAAUACCGGAUACGUGCGAGAGCAGAAAGAUUUAUCGCUGAAGGAUCGGCCCGCGUCUGAGUAGCUAGUUGGUGGGGUAAUGGCCCACCAAGGCGACGAUCAGUAGCUGGUCCGAGAGGAUGAUCAGCCACAUUGGGACUGAGACACGGCCCAAACUCCUACGGGAGGCAGCAGUGGGGAAUAUUGGACAAUGGGCGCAAGCCUGAUCCAGCCAUGCCGCGUGAGUGAUGAAGGCCUUAGGGUUGUAAAGCUCUUUCGUCCGGGACGAUAAUGACGGUACCGGAAGAAGAAGCCCCGGCUAACUUCGUGCCAGCAGCCGCAGUAA
rnacentral:rRNA from 1 species